AUACGAAGGGGGCAAGCGUUACCCGGAUUUACUGGGCGUAAAGGGUGCGUAGGUGGUUAUUUAAGUCCGUUGUGAAACCCCUGGGCUCAACCUGGGAACUGCAUUGGAUACUGGAUGACUAGAGUGCGGUAGAGGUUAGCGGAAUUCCUGGUGUAGCAGUGAAAUGCGUAGAGAUAAGGAGGAACAUCCGUGGCGAAGGCGGCUAACUGGACCGACAUUGACACUGAGGCACGAAAGCGUGGGUAGCAAACAGGAUUAGAUACCCUGGUAGUCCACGCCGUAAACGAUGAGUACUGGGUGUUGGGGGUAACGAGGCACGCAGUGUCGCAGCUAACGCAAUAAGUACUCCGCCUGGGGAGUACGGUCGCAAGACUAA
rnacentral:rRNA from 1 species